AGGCCAUUAGCUCAGUGGUAGAGCAUCUGUUUUGCAUGGAGAUGGUCCGGGUUUCAAUCUCCAGGUAGGUCUG